UCUGAAACACUCCAAUUCAUGCGUUAUUAGUUAUAAAGCACUUAUGAAUAUUGUAAAAAUUAUUUUAAAGUGAUUUCAUUUCACAAUUUUUGAUUUAAAAAUUUAUCACCACCAAAAGUACCAUAAAGCCGACCAUCCAUAAACAAAAAUUCACGGAAAUUUUUUUUAGAUAAAACAAGAAAUAAUUAACGCUGGACCACAGACCAAGCGAGGGUGGUGUGGCGAAGCAAAUAAAAAAGAAAAUAAAUCAAAACAAAAGCUCAGAAAAGAUGACAAAUAUGAACAAGAAAAAAUCAAAAAAAAAAUCAAAAAAAAAAAUGACAUAAAUAAAAAUCAACAGCGACUCCUCGAAAAAAGGAAGAAAACAACAAAACUAGCAAAGAAAAAAAUAACAAAAUGUUGCAACGAAAAUUUGGUGAAGAAAAAAUUCAUUACAAAUGGAAAUAAGUUGCCAAAAGUAAAUUGCAAUUUGCGUGCCCGAAAAGACAAGAGAAAGAAAUAGCUGCUGCAAAAUGGACAGGAGAAAGCGAGCAAUACAAAAAAAUAAGCUAAAAGUGAGUCCAAUUCCGACUAAUUUGUAAAUAUUAUUCUCCAUGCGAAACUUAACAUAUUGAACAUGCUUGGUGGCAAAAUGGGCGAAAUAAGGCAGUAACCACGUCUAACUUAUUUAUAUUUAUUGUGUUCGUAACUACUAGAAGCGAAAUAAUUCUUUAACGGAAAUCGUCAGAAUAAUUAUACUUUGGCAGCAUGUUGUAACAGAGGAUUAUAGUUUUGUCCACCUAACGGUUGUUUGUAUCACCUAAAAUUAAUCGAGAUAGUUUCGUGAUGUAACUUCGUACACGUGUUCCUUGGCACUCAAGUGGUAUUGGUAUUGCAGAUAUGCGGAAUUGGUCUACAAAUAUUGGCAGGCCCACAAAGUGCCGUUAAAAUAAAACGUACAAAGUGCCAUAGGUACGCACUAAAUUUAGAUGAAAAAUUGUAAUUUAGUAAAGAGGAUGGCAAUAUCAAAGAACAUCUGUCGGCUACAAUUUUUUUUCGAAAGGGCGUAGCAUCGUUUAUACGAGCAAAUAAAAAAUCGGGCAAUGGACGUGACACCGCCCACAUUUAGGGAAAUCCCACAUCUCUGGACCUACUACAGCAAUUUCAAACAAAUCCGUGUGUAUACAAGUCAAACAUCAACGAAGUUAUCAGAAUAAAAUAUUGUACAAAAAGCGCUUUCAAGG